rnacentral:rRNA from 1 species
UUGGCCUACGGGACGCAGCAGUGGGGAAUAUUGCACAAUGGGGGGAACCCUGAUGCAGCGACGCCGCGUGGGUGAAGGAGUACUUCGGUACGUAAAGUCCUAUCAGCAGGAAAGAAAAUGACGGUACCUGACUAAGAAGCCCCGGCUAACUACGUGCCAGCAGCCGCGGUAAUACGUAGGGGGCAAGCGUUAUCCGGAUUUACUGGGCGUAAAGGGAGCGUAGACGGCAGUGCAAGUCCGGAGUGAAAGCCCGGGGC